CCAAUUGCUUUCAUUUGCUUCAUCUCUCCUGGAAUGAAAAAAAAAAACAUCUGCGUUCAUCCAACCUUAGAAUCCCGAAACCAAAAUUCAUCCAGAUCGUUCCAAUCUCCAACGGCAAAUCGAAAUAUCCAGUCGCUUGAUUCUCUAUCUAAAAUACCCACUCAUCGUUGCCUUAUCUCUGAUGAUUCAAUUGGCCGGCGACGGCUUCUAGGAUUCUAGCUCGACUUUUCUUUCAAAACUCAGCUCGAGUGCUCGGAUGCUCGAUUUUCCGACAUGGCGAUUUCUGCUGAUGACCAGAGAACUAGACCUUGCUACUAUCGGAUUCCUGAGUGAAUUUGGUUUUCGUUUGUUUGGGGAUUUUGUUUCCAGUAUCCGUUUUUCGACUGGUUGUGCAUCUCUGUAAAGCUAGAUCUGUAAACGUUUUUUCUGUUGUUUUGAAUGGAACCAGAGCCUUUCCAUGCUCGAGCUCCACAGAGGAUUGCAAUGGGAGAAGGUGGCUGCUCUGUGAUUUUUGCAAAGGGCAGAAAACGAAUGUGAAAUCCUAGACCAAUCAAUCUACGGCGGAUGCCCAUCUUGCAGAACUGUGAGUUUUGAACUCCUCCUCACAAGAGAAAGCCCAAUAACUUUUUGUUUCAGAGGCUAUGUCAGAAUAAUGAAGGACCUAAGAGAGCUUUAUUUGGAAGUAGAAGUCAAGGUUGAUCCUGUUGUUUCAUUUUGUGAAGCAGUGUAGCCUUUGUCAAUCAAAUGCUUUGCUGAAACAUCCAAUAAGAAGAAUAAAAUAACUAUGAUUGCUGAGCCAUUGGAGAGAGGACUUGCUGAGGACAUUGAGAAUGUAUAUUAGCUACAGUGUUCGUUUCUGCAAUGCAGUGACUGCUUCAAGGAAAAUGUGCUCUUAUGGGAUAUUCUAUGUUCAUGUAACUGUCAAUGGGGAAUACUAGACUAGCCAUUUUUGUAAAUCAAUGACAAGGCAUUUCACAAUGUCUUUUCUGUAAGUUACAUAAACUUAGACAGCUUUAUAAAAAUAUUUGCUCCAUUUUCUACUUAAUGUUUAUCUUAGUCUUUGGUUAUUUA